AUCAUGAUUCCUUUAUGAUGCAUCGCAUGAAAGAUCAUAACGAGGAAAGGGCAGCUGACGAAUACAUCUUCGAGAGCUAGCAGGAAAGUGAAAGACUGACUUGGAGAACAAGAAGAAUGAAACAGAUUGAGUAGCGCUAAAUCCAAGAGAAAUUGUUCAGAUGCAUUCUUGCUAUCUGUUACAAUUUUUAUAAUUAUACGUGACACUGUUGAUAUGUUACAGAUAAUUCUGACAUUGUUAUCAAGGGUGAUAAAGCGAUGGAGGUAACACUUUUGAAGCCGAUUCAGUCAGUUUUCCCUAUUACUCAAUCCACCCCACUAACACUGUUGGAUUUAUCAAAUUGUAAUCAUUUAUAUGCUUCCGCUACAUUACCAGCGAAUAGAUGUUUCCACGUUGUCCCAAGAACAAAUGUAUGUUCUGCAGCCGAUUGACACGGCUGAUAUUGAAAACUUGAGGAAGAUGAUAAGAUUGGACUUGUAUACUGAGCAGAAAAUGGAAAUGAAGAGCGAAAGUAGAAAAUAGAUAACCUUGAAAAAGGAUGGAAGUCUAGAACUGGUAGAGAUGCCUUGGAACGAGACAGAAGGAUCGAAUAUUGACGAUGGUGUUUGAUUAACUGUGCAAAAAUCAAAGACACUUUAGUAUUACAUUUGGUUGCUUUAACUGUUGAAAAACUCAGUGUAAUAUACAGAAAUUUAUUAUAAUUCUAAUGUUAUAAAUGAAGUAACUUUAUUCGUCAUA